rnacentral:rRNA from 1 species
UUCGUAGUGACCUGCGGAGGUCAUUA